GACGAACGCUGGCGGCGUGCCUAACACAUGCAAGUCGAACGAACGGACGCGGCGCUUGCUUCUCUGAUGUUAGCGGCGGACGGGUGAGUAACACGUGGUCUACCUUCCUCUUAGACUUGGAUCACUUCGAGAAACCGUAGCUCAUACCGGAAACUAUUUUGAACUUCAUGGUUCAAAAGUUUUAUCCGUUUUUGCUGAGAUUUAUAGCUAUAUCCGCGUUGCAUUAGUAAGUUGGUAAGAUAACGGCUUACCAAGGCAACGAUGCAUAGCCGACCUGAGAGGGUGAUCGGCGACACAGGAACUGAGAGACGGUCCAGACUCCUACGGGAGGCAGCGGUAGGGAAGCGUGCGCGAUGGGCGAAAGCCUGACGGAGCAACGCCGGGUGAGUGAUGAAGGUCUUCGGAUCGGAAAACGCUGUUAUGAGGGAAGAACAUAUGUGUAAGUAACUGUGCACAUCUUGACGGUACCUAAACAGAAAGCCACGGCUAACUACGUG
rnacentral:rRNA from 1 species